rnacentral:misc_RNA from 1 species
GGCGGCGCGAGCCUCGACCCGGAGGACUUCGCCGUCAUCUGUCGCUUCCUGCGGACCUAAAGCGGCGGGACGGGCCCGCCGCGGCGGGUACGCUAGGAACCCAGCCAACUUCCUUCGGAGGUCUCAUGGCCAAGCGCCGUACGCAGCUCGACGGAGUCCUCGGACCGCUCGAGACCGAGGUCAUGGAAGCCGUCUGGGACAACGGGGACUCCACCGUCCGUGAUGUCCACGCCGCCCUCGCCCGUCGUCGCAGCAUCGCGUACACGACGGUGAUGACCACCAUGGGACGCCUCGCCGGCAAAGGCCUCCUCGCCCGCGACACCUCCGGGCUGGCCCAUCGCUACCGCCCGGCCAUCAGCCGCGACGACUACGCGAAGUCGAU